AACUUCUACUUCCCGGUACUGCCUGCCACAAUUUUAUCCCUUAGAACCCAGAACAGCUGGGAGCAGAUAAAAUCUUCUUGGGUUAUGAGCUACUCAGGAGGCUGAGGCAGGAGAAUCGCCUGAACCCAAGAGGAGGAGGUUGUGGUGAGCCAAGAUCGCGCUGUCGCACUCCAGCCUGGGCAACAGAGUGAAACUAUAUAAAGCACAUUGGGCCAGGCAUGGUGGCUCACACCUGUAAUCUCAGCACUUUGGGAGGCCAAAGCAGUGGAUCACUUGAGGUCAGCAGUUCGAGAACCAGCCUGGCCAACAUGUUCCCAGAUGAUGCUGCUGGCCUGCGGACUGUACUUUGUGAACUUAUGCUGGAGCAGAUGGAUCAGAAACCCCGGCCAGAGGAUGCUCAGGACCCAUCAAGCCCCCGCGAGGAAGGACUCAGACCCCCAACCCCACCAAAUUAAAGCAGGCAAUGGAGAAUUAUACUGAAGGGAUUCUUCGGCUGGGCAAAAACAUGAUUAGAUCUGCAUUCUAAAGACUGCUCGCAGAGUAGAGGAUGGAUUGGAGCAGGGAGUCUACUGCAAUAGUACAGAUGCGAUAGUGAAGACUUCAUUUAAAGCAGCACCAGCAAGAAUGAGGAAGAAGGGAUUAAUAUGAAAAACGUUAAAGAGGUGGAAUGUAUAAGGCUCGAUGGCCGAAUGAUGGGAGGUAGGAAUAGGGAGUGUGUAGAAGGAGUCUAAGA
rnacentral:lncRNA from 1 species